rnacentral:misc_RNA from 1 species
AGAUUAUCACGUGGUAUAAUGUAUAAUAAUCAAUAUAAUACAUGUAUCGAAAUCGACGUUUGUUUAUGAUAAUGUAGAUCUUCCCGCUUCCCGGCAGGGGAGCCGGCACGCGUGCCAGACUCCUACAUUCACGAGAGAGAGAUGAAACCUUGCCCUGUCAUCGCACGCUUCCCGGGCGUUCUGCGUUCAGAUGAGAAUUAUUCUUACGCCGUCUCGUGCUAAAUUAUCAUUGUAACGAAAUAACGAGGACCAGCGUUUUGACUCUAGUAUUGAAUUUCUGAAAUUUACUCCGUUUUUAUCAGAAAUGUAACGAGUUUUUUUGGAAAAUUAUUCUAUGAAGAUUGUGAUAAAUUUUAAACCAAAGUUUGCGUCAGCUGUGUAAAUAAUUGUAUUUAAAAACGUUGUAUAUAUGUCGUUUGUAUAAGUAUAAUUCGUACACAAUCAUUAUGUUCGCUUUAAUUAAUUUGUGCAUAUGUCUUUACUUAUUUCGAUUUGCAAGUAGCUCGACAUUGACAGCACCUCCUCUGUCAGCUCUAAUAAUUGCGUUUGAGAGCGUGCACGAUUUAUCGUUACUUGCUAAUACUUUGUCGGAUCAAGGAAUCGACACGACGUUAAUAAUACCGUCCUAUGCUGCUAAUGAUCUUUAUAAUAAUCUAAUUGAUGUUGAAGUAUUGCAACUGAAUGUUAACUUUGAUAAAUCGAUGUCUGUUGAUACUCGUGCGUUAGAAGCCUGCAGUAGUCUCUUCAAAGAUGAAGAAAUAUUAAAAAAGAUACAGGAAUUUCAAUCUACGUUUACCAUAUUUCCAGCAUUAAGACACGACGGCUGCUUACUUCCAUUUGCUAAACAUAUCGAAUCCAUUCCAGUAAUUUGGAUAAAAAAUCCAGAUGAAGAACUAUAUGCCUUUGAAUGUACCAGAGUUGCUCUGCCGAUACAUAGUGGUGGAUUCUGGUCGAGACUCUCAACAAGUUUUGCAGGAAGAUCCAUAUUCUCUACUGUUAAAAAUGGCUACCUAACUCCUGCUUUAAAAUUAACAACCAUACGCCUACCAGAUGUUAAUUUCGACUUGGAUCAUCUUUAUUCUGAUGUCCGUCUAGUACUCUGGGGAGCUGAUACAGUGUUGCGUUCCAAUUUUGCAUUUUUGACACAAUUACUCGUAGAGGUUGGCUGUCAUCAUUGUAGAGGUGCACAUCCUUUAUCAAAGGAUUUACAAAAAUCAAUGGUUGAACAUAGAAUGGGCACUAUUGUUGCUCUAUUAGAUGAGAAUUACGAGACUUUGAUACAAGAAUUGGCAAAGAAAUUGCCCAAAGGCAGGGAAGGUCAAGCUGUUGUAUGGAAAAUUGACAAGGAUGAUACAAAUGUCGCUGUGCCAGAGAAUCUUUUUAUUCACAGAGAUAUCGACCGACAAGACCUCAUAGGUUACAGCCGAACCCGAAUAGUAUUGAGUCAUUGUACCGAUACGGAAUUCUUGGAAGCUGCCUUUCACGGGACACCCGUGAUAUGUCUGCCGAGGGACACGCACGAGUCUCUCAAUAGUGCCCGCGCAGUCGAGUUGGGCUUUGCACGUUCCACGGAGGACGCUUAUGUCUCCGCCGAGGAGAUAGCAAACAUGGUGCACGAGAUACACGAGACAGCCGCUUAUCGCGAGAACGCGCGAAAAGUCUCCUUGGCUAUACGCGAUAGACUCAAUCCUGCCUCCGACAGGCUUGUUUAUUGGCUGGGUUACAUAGCGAGAACGAAAGACGACAGCAGAAAAUUUCACAGACCAAAGAGCCAUGCGAAGACACUUACAGAGGAUAUCCAGUUCUUCGUCGGUCUUUUGGUAGGCGUGAUCUUCGGGAUCGUCUCCACGGGCAGCGCGGUGGUCAUGCGAUAUCUAAUUACGGCCAACAAAGUGCAAAAAUCAAAGGGGCGAUAUACACGAUGAACGUGACGUCGAGAUUUGGCAUACAGUUGUGAUCAGGACGCGCUGGUCUGAGUCUGGGUGCUCUUCUUCCACCGCGUUGAGCCAAUCGUACCAGAGCGGCACCCUCGUGUAAGGCUGCCAGAGCGACUCCGGCCAUCCUGAAUGCCGGAAGUCUUCUCCAGCACACACGCACGCUACACGAACCGGACAUACCUGUCACAAAAAGGAGAAAAGGAAAAAAAAUUAAUGGAGCUAAUCGAUAGAUGAAGAAAGAAAGGUACAAUCAUCCAAGGAUAUACACAGAAGACAUUCUUAUUAAUGUCUCGUUACCUACCGUGACAUUUGCAUACACGUUGCAUCCUAGAGCGAAUUGCACGUCUACCAGCCUCGCUAUCGUGUUUCCUCAUCAACUGACCAGCCAGCCCCUUCGGUCCAUG